CAUUACAAGACCGCCACUGUAGAGUCGGACAGUCGGUGUAUAAGGUUGUUGACGCUACUGAACACAAGAUGUGUCUUUUUUUAGGUACAUCGCUCUCCGAUCUUGAGUGACACGUUAGAAACCGUUCGGUGUGUCUUGAGUGUCUUCGUUACUUUCCCUCGGAGACGGUACUCAAGCUCUGUCCGGAGGGGCGUCGGCUACAUACCCUCUAGAUACCUCCGGAGGCAUAACCGGUCAACCAGGGACUUAACGAAGGGGUAUACGAGUUUUUCCAGCUCGAACAGCUACCUCUACCGCCGCAGCCUUGUCAAAACGUAGAGUGGAUGAGAGGACCUUAAGGACCCAAGUUUAUAGUUUUUCUUUUCAAGUAGUUUUAACUAUUACUUUUGAUACAGUUUCUCCGUGAUCAUCAUCUUCCUCCGCAAGAUGUAGUACCUAAAGUCUUUACAAACCAGGCUAAACUCUAAUAUCCCGUUUGUUUACUCUGUAGAUGUUAUUCUAGUUGGUAACUUAUACUUUAACUACUGCUGUUCUGCCUAUUGCGUAGGAAGCAGUCAUGGUCACCACACCGAAAAUAACGACUUCGGUAGUGGUUCAUAUAGUUCCGUGUCUUUUCGCGACUAGUUCGAGUAGUUCUUUGCAAUCGAGUAUCUUCGUUACUUUCCAUCGGAAACGGUACUGAAGCUCUGUCCGGAGGGGCGCCGCCUCCAUACCCUCUACAUAGCUCCAGAGCCAUAAUCGGUCCAUCAAGGAGUUAACGAAGGGCUAUAGAAGUUUUUCCGGUUCGAACAACUUCCUCUACCGCCACAGCCCUGUCAAAACGUAGAGUGGAAAAGAGUACCCCAACGAGGUAAUCUUAUAGUUUUCCUUUUCAAGUAGUUCUAACUGGUACUUUUGAUACAGUUCCUCCGUUAUUAUCAUCUUCCUCCGGAAGACCUAGUACCUAAAGUCUUUAUAAACUACUCUUAACUCUAAUAUCCCGUUUGGUUAUUUUGUAGAUGUUAUUCCAGUUGGUAACUUAUACUUCAACUACUGCUGUUCAGUCCGUUGUGUAGGAAACAGUCAUGGUCACGUGAUCGAACGGAGCGACUUCGUUAGUGUCUCAUAUAGUUCCGUGUCUUUUCGCGACUCGUUCGAGCACUUCUUUACGGCAUUCUUGUUUCGUAGGGAAGCGACUCCGUGAUAGAACAAUAAGUGACAUAGUGUCAAAUAUAAAGAACCUACUAAUAUACUACAACAACGGUAAACGGCAGUACGUAUCGGUUCAUAACGC
rnacentral:rRNA from 1 species